UCCCCGAUAGCUCAGUCGGUAGAGCAACGGACUGUUAAUCCGUGGGUCGCAGGUUCGAGCCCUGCUCGGGGAGCCA
rnacentral:tRNA from 3 species